rnacentral:rRNA from 1 species
GUCUUUUUGAGUAUAAUUUAAAGUCUAACCUGCCCUAUGAUAAUUUAAAUGGCCGCGGUAUUUUGACCGUGCUAAGGUAGCAUAAUCAAUAGUUUUUUAAUUGAAAGCUGGAAUGAAGGGUUGGAUAAAAAAAUUACUGUCUUUAUUUAAUUUUAUUAAAAUUUUAUUUUUAAGUUAAAAAGCUUAAAUUUUAUUAAAAGACGAGAAGACCCUAUAGAGUUUAAUAAAUUUAUUAAUUUAUAUAUUUAGAAUUUAUUUUAUUAAUUAGUCUAUUUAUUUAAUUGGGGUGAUUAAAAAAUUAAAUUAACUUUUUUUGUAUUUUUACAUUAAUAAAUGUUUAUUUGAUCCAUAAUUAAUGAUUAUAAGAUAAAAUUACCUUAGGGAUAACAGCGUUAUUUUUUUUUAGAGUUCAAAUCGAAAAAAAAGAUUGCGACCUCGAUGUUGGAUUAAAAUUAAUUUUUGGUGUAGUAGCUUUAAAAUUAGGUCUGUUCGACCUUUAAAAUUUUACA